GGCAUGUCCUGCCAAAACAUUGAAAUGGCUGCAAAUAAUGCCUUAAAAUGACCAAUUUUGAGCUUURCCGAGUUAAAAAAACUCUUUAAGAAGGUGUAUAAAGAGACUCACCUGAUGAUAGAAGUCAUCGUCAUCAAAUAUUUCUUUGUCAUAGUCUUUAAGGUGUGCAUUGGCUUCUUCCUGAAAUUAUAAAUAUGAUUUUGUAAUGAAUUUCUGCUCUUURCAAGCUGUUUCAUAUGACAUAUAUGAUAUAUUAUAUGGUAUUAUUAUCUGAAAGUUCAAUAAAUGUGUUACCUCUU